UUUCAACUCCUUGGUUAGAACUUUGUGCCCUAAUAAUCUAUCCAUAGUUCUUUCAACAAGCUGUAGCAGAGAACAACGUGAGCUCAUCCUCCACCGUGAGGACGGUUCAUCCUCCACACCGUGAGUUCAUCCUGCACCGACAUCAAGCUACAGCACCACCGUGAGUUCUAGAUUACAAAAUGGCUUCUUCCUCUAGUAACAAUAGCUACUUAAGAUUGAUACCAAGAUUUUGUGAUUGUGGGAGAAUAGUUGCCAUACACAUUGUGCGAACCAAUCAGAAUGGAAAUAAAGGGCGUGUGUACUUUGUGUGUCCAUCAAAAUAUUGAGGAACACUGCAAUUACUUCAAGUUCGUAGAUGAUGAUGACUACGACGUGAUCUCCAAUGUUGCACCUCGUACAUAUAUAAGAAGCGAAGAAUUUAACGAUCCAAGCACAAGGGUUUAUGAGAUGGAUAAUGAAUUUCAGGAGCAUGGUAGAAGGCUUCGAAAGAUGGAGAAGAAAUUGAAUGUCGUGCUUUAUGUCAUUGUAUUUUGUAUUGUUUUAUAUUUUAUAAUGUAAACUACUGAGUUCAUAGCUUUUGGGGAAUUUGAUGGAUGUACUUAUGGAUUGAAUGGACUUGAUGUAUGUCCUUAUGGAUUGAAUGAACUUUAUAACUUCAAUGGACUUCUAUUUUCAAUUACUGUUGAUAGGU